AUUCCAUGAUGGGGAAACUUUAUUAACAACUCCUUAAAGCGCUCCCAAGCAUCAUACAAAGACUCCCUGUGAUUAUGAUGGAAAUUAUUGAUUUCGCCUCUCAACUU